rnacentral:rRNA from 1 species
UACGUAGGGUGCAAGCGUUGUCCGGAAUUAUUGGGCGUAAAGAGCUCGUAGGCGGUUUGUUGCGUCGGCUGUGAAAUCCCGAGGCUCAACCUCGGGUCUGCAGUCGAUACGGGCAGGCUAGAGUUCGGUAGGGGAGACUGGAAUUCCUGGUGUAGCGGUGAAAUGCGCAGAUAUCAGGAGGAACACCGGUGGCGAAGGCGGGUCUCUGGGCCGAUACUGACGCUGAGGAGCGAAAGCGUGGGGAGCGAACAGG